GAACUGAGGUGAUUUCCCUAUACGAAUAGGGAUUUAGGAGACGGAGAUGGAUUUUUUGGGUUUUGAGAGAUAGAGAAGGAUAUGGAAGGGAGGGGUAGCACCAUAGUGCUAGCUCUUAUGUUCUCUCUUCUCUUCCAAGGGAACGUCUUCUCACUUCUUCUCCAACACAGUCGAAACUGCACAAGCAGAGAAGAGCUUCAACUUUCUUCUAAUUCUCUUCUUCUUCGACUUCUCGUGUAUCACUACUGCCAUCACCACUAAACAUUUUUUCUUCAGUUAUUCUUGUCAAUCAAGUGAUUCUUGUUAAUCAUGAUUUAAUAAUUUCUCAAAUUGGGGAAGAAUUUCAGGGUUUGUCAAAAUUAGGUUUAAUUCAUUGAAUUGAGGUUGGUUUAAGAAUAGGGUUUAACUUGAUUUUCAUUUUUUUCAGUUUCAUACGUUAAAUUUUGUACUUCAGUUAAUUAGGGUUUCUAAUUAUUUUGAUUGUGAAUCAACACCAAAGGAAAUUAUUUGAUUAUGAUUGUGACUUGUUAGAACCUAUAAUACAUAUGAGAGAUGGGGUUUCUGGUCAAAACCUGGGAAUAUGGUGUGGCAGAAAGAAUGUGUUGUUUGAUUUGGUUUGGCAGUGGCUAGGAAUUGAAGCCAACAGGGGUGGAUGAUUCGAGUCUGAGAUGAAUAAUUGGAGCCGUGUUAGAUUGAAGAAAGGAUUGAAUGAAUGAAUCAGUUUUUAUGAAUUUGAUAUUGUAGUGAAGAACAUGGGAGGAUUGGAAAUCGAACAGUGGUGCAUAUAUAUGCCACCAGCAGAACGCAUGUAGGUGUUUGCAAAAUUGCUUGAACCACCAGCUUCACUCGACAAUCAACAACCGAGUUCUCGUUGCAGCUGCCUGUUGACUGCCAUGGCUUGAUGGAUUUCUAGAGUGGGUGAAGUAGAUUACAGUGUUCUUGAACUGAGAAGGAGAUGAAGAAUUGUUGUUCCUGGAUGGGUUUGAUGGUCAAAAUGGGUUUCGGAAUUCGAUUGAGUUUUGAACAGAUUUCAAGUCGUGAAAAUAGUUCUACAUAAGAACUUGUCGCUUCUGUUUACAAGGGAGUGUGGUGCACUUGGGUAUGAAGUUACAUAAUGAAUUUCAUGCUGCAAUGGAGGCUUGAACCCGUGUUGGUCUAUGCUGUUGUAAAUGUUAGAAUUGCAAGAAAUGGAUUGCUUGGUGGUGGAUGGCCGUCAGGGAUUGUUCCAAAACGAAAAUCGGGUAAACCAAAAUAGCUAGUGGUUGUGGAUAUCUUUCAACCAUGUACACAAGUCCUGUAGAACAAUCCAAUAUAAUGAAAACUACAUAGAAUCUGGAGUCGGUUUGGUGAAAGUCUCUUCCUCUAAACAGUUUUAACCUGGGACAAAUCAACGAAUUGAAAAUUAUAGAGCAGUGCAGUACGUGGUUUCAUUUCAUCGUCUUGUCGAUGGAGCAAAGAAGAGACUUGGUUUCAUUAAUAGAAAACCAGAUGUUGCUUCUGUUCAACCAAGUGGUGAAUGUAUGAUCUCGACGUGGUCUGUGUGUUACUGAAUUUGGGCAGUGAGAAGACGGCAAAGACAAACUUGGUGCUGUUGCUGCCGGAUGAACUCGACGUGGUCUAUCUGUUCGAUGAAAUGCCCCAAAGAAGGAUUACUAAAAGGUCAUAGUCAAUUGUGUUCUCAUCUUGAUAAAUUUUUGUGGAUCCGACAGGGGUAUUAGUAGGUGAUUUUGAUCAGUUUUCUGUUGGUGGGUUUGACUUUGAUGGUUAUUCUCGACUUUGGUUGCGAGUUAUGUCUGAGUUCUUGAUUUUGAUUUAACUCUUACUCACGACUUAACUCGCUAACGACUUGCAAUGAUGACUUGAUUUAACUCACUAUAAUGAGAUGAUUCGAGGGCGUAAAUGUUUUUUACUAA